rnacentral:rRNA from 1 species
AUACGGAGGGUGCAAACGUUGCUCGGAAUUAUUGGGCGUAAAGCGCGCGUAGGCGGCUUGAUAAGUCGGAUGUGAAAGCCCUCGGCUCAACCGAGGAGGUGCAUACGAAACUGUCAGGCUUGAGUAUGGGAGAGGAUUGUGGAAUUCCCGGUGUAGAGGUGAAAUUCGUAGAUAUCGGGAGGAACACCAGUGGCGAAGGCGACAAUCUGGACCAAUACUGACGCUGAGGUGCGAAAGCGUGGGGAGCAAACAGGAUUAGAAACCCUAGUAGUCC